GACGAACGCUGGCGGCGUGCUUAACACAUGCAAGUCGAGCGAGUGGAUUCCCUUCGGGGAUGAAGCUAGCGGCGGACGGGUGAGUAACACGUGGGCAACCUGCCUUAUAGAGGGGGAUAGCCUUCCGAAAGGAAGAUUAAUACCGCAUAACAUCAGAUUAUCGCAUGGUAGACUGAUCAAAGGAGCAAUCCGCUAUAAGAUGGGCCCGCGUCGCAUUAGCUAGUUGGUGAGGUAACGGCUCACCAAGGCGACGAUGCGGAGCCGACCUGAGAGGGUGAUCGGCCACAUUGGGACUGAGACACGGCCCAGACUCCUACGGGAGGCAGCAGUGGGGAAUAUUGCACAAUGGGGGAAACCCUGAUGCAGCAACGCCGCGUGAGUGAUGAAGGCCUUCGGGUUGUAAAGCUCUUUGAUCAGGGACGAUAAUGACGGUACCUGAAGAACAAGCCACGGCUAACUACGUGCCAGCAGCCGCGGUAAAAC
rnacentral:rRNA from 1 species